rnacentral:rRNA from 1 species
CCUACGGGGGGCAGCAGUAGGGAAUCUUCGGCAAUGGGGGCAACCCUGACCGAGCAACGCCGCGUGAGUGAAGAAGGUUUUCGGAUCGUAAAGCUCUGUUGUAAGAGAAGAACGAGUGUGAGAGUGGAAAGUUCACACUGUGACGGUAUCUUACCAGAAAGGGACGGCUAACUACGUGCCAGCAGCCGCGGUAAUACGUAGGUCCCGAGCGUUGUCCGGAUUUAUUGGGCGUAAAGCGAGCGCAGGCGGUUAGAUAAGUCUGAAGUUAAAGGCUGUGGCUUAACCAUAGUACGCUUUGGAAACUGUUUAACUUGAGUGCAGAAGGGGAGAGUGGAAUUCCAUGUGUAGCGGUGAAAUGCGUAGAUAUAUGGAGGAACACCGGUGGCGAAAGCGGCUCUCUGGUCUGUAACUGACGCUGAGGCUCGAAAGCGUGGGGAGCGAACAGGAUUAGAUACCCCAGUAGUC